AAACUCAAAGGAAUUGACGGGGACCCGCACAAGCAGCGGAGCAUGUGGUUUAAUUCGAAGCAACGCGAAGAACCUUACCAAAUCUUGACAUCCUUUUGACCAUCAUUUAAUCAUGAUCUCUCUUCGGAGCAGAAGUGACAGGUGGUGCAUGGUUGUCGUCAGCUCGUGUCGUGAGAUGUUGGGUUAAGUCCCGCAACGAGCGCAACCCUUGUCUUUAGUUGUCAUCAGGUAAUGCUGGACCCUCUAAAGAGACUGCCGGUGAUAAACCGGAGGAAGGUGGGGAUGACGUCAAAUCAUCAUGCCCCUUAUGAUUUGGGCUACACACGUGCUACAAUGGUCGGUACAACAGGCAGCGAAAGGGUAACCUGGAGCGAAUCCUCUAAAGCCGAUCUCAGUUCGGAUUGUGGGCUGCAACUUGCCCACAUGAAGUUGGAGUUGCUAGUAAUCGUGAAUCAGAAUGUCGCGGUGAAUGCAUUCCCGGGUCUUGUACACACCGCCCGUCACACCAUGGAAGUUGGGGGCGCCCGAAGCCAGUGAUCCAACCGCAAGGAGGAAGCUGUCGAAGGUGAAACCAAUGACUAGGGUGAAGUCGUAACAAGGUAACCG
rnacentral:rRNA from 1 species